rnacentral:lncRNA from 1 species
AGAAACCAAACAUUCAUACAAAAGACAACAUGAAAAAUUACCUUUAAGAGAAAUUUAAACAUCAUCACGACAUUGGCAACAAUAUUGUUGAACCGCAAAAUACAAAACCCAAUCUCCUUCUUUGUAGCUACAACAUAAGCGAUAAAAAUGAUUAUCACUAAUGAAAGACAAAAAUCAACGAUCAGGAUAAAAUGAAAAAAAAUGAUAUAACUGUAUGGACAAAAUGCAACGGGUGUACUGGAAUGAAGAAGCUCU